rnacentral:rRNA from 1 species
GCCUACGGGACGCAGCAGUGGGGGAUAUUGCACAAUGGAGGAAACUCUGAUGCAGCGACGCCGCGUGAGGGAAGACGGUCUUCGGAUUGUAAACCUCUUUUGUCGGGGAGCAAGGCCCGUCACGUGUGGCGGGAAGGAGAGUACCCGAAGAAAAAGCAUCGGCUAACUCCGUGCCAGCAGCCGCGGUAAUACGGAGGAUGCGAGCGUUAUCCGGAUUUAUUGGGUUUAAAGGGUGCGUAGGCGGAAGGUUAAGUCAGCGGUCAAAUGUCGGUGCUCAACACCGGCCUGCCGUUGAAACUGGUCUU